UACGGGGGGGGGUAAGCGUUGUUCGGAAUUACUGGGCGUAAAGGGCUCGUAGGCGGCCAACUAAGUCAGACGUGAAAUCCCUCGGCUUAACCGGGGAACUGCGUCUGAUACUGGAUGGCUUGAGGUUGGGAGAGGGAUGCGGAAUUCCAGGUGUAGCGGUGAAAUGCGUAGAUAUCUGGAGGAACACCGGUGGCGAAGGCGGCAUCCUGGACCAAUUCUGACGCUGAGUGAGCGAAAGCCAGGGGAGCAAACGGG
rnacentral:rRNA from 1 species